CUGGCGGCGUGCUUAACACAUGCAAGUCGAGCGGUAAGGCCCUUCGGGGUACACGAGCGGCGAACGGGUGAGUAACACGUGAGCAACCUGCCCCUGACUCCGGGAUAAGCCGGGGAAACCCGGUCUAAUACCGGAUAGGACGCUUCGUCGCAUGGCGGGGUGUGGAAAGGUUUCUUUCCGGUCAGGGAGGGGCUCGCGGCCUAUCAGCUUGUUGGUGGGGUGAAGGCCUACCAAGGCGAUUACGGGUAGCCGGCCUGAGAGGGCGACCGGCCACACUGGGACUGAGACACGGCCCAGACUCCUACGGGAGGCAGCAGUGGGGAAUAUUGCGCAAUGGGCGGAAGCCUGACGCAGCGACGCCGCGUGGGGGAUGACGGCCUUCGGGUUGUAAACCUCUUUUACCACCGACGCAGGCCCGUGCUUCUGUGCGGGUUGACGGUAGGUGGGGAAUAAGGACCGGCCAACUACGUGCCAGCAGCCGCGGUAAUACGUAGGGUCCGAGCGUUGUCCGGAAUUAUUGGGCGUAAAGAGCUCGUAGGUGGCGUGUCGCGUCUGCUGUGUAAGUCCGGGGCUUAACUCCGGUUUUGCAGUGGAUACGGGCAUGCUAGAGGUAGGCAGGGGAGACUGGAAUUCCUGGUGUAGCGGUGAAAUGCGCAGAUAUCAGGAGGAACACCGGUGGCGAAGGCGGGUCUCUGGGCCUUACCUGACGCUGAGGAGCGAAAGCGUGGGGAGCGAACAGGAUUAGAUACC
rnacentral:rRNA from 3 species